CCUACGGGUGGCAGCAGUGGGGAAUAUUGGGCAAUGGGCGCAAGCCUGACCCAGCAACGCCGCGGGAAGGAAGAAGGCUUUCGGGGUGGAAACGUCUUUUAAGAGGGAAGAGCAGAAGACGGGACCUCUUGAAUAAGCCACGGCUAACUCCGUGCCAGCAGCCGCGGUAAUACGUAGGUGGCAAGCGUUGGCCGGAUGUACUGGGUGGAAAGGGCGUGCAGCCGGGAAGACAAGUCAGAUGUGAAAUCCCGCGGCUAAACCGCGGAACUGCCUUUUAAACUGUUUUUCUUGAGUACCGGAGAGGUCAUCGGACUUCCUUGUGUAGCGGUGAAAUGC
rnacentral:rRNA from 1 species